CAAACGUAGUAUUUUACACUUCAGUAUUGUAGCAAAACUUUCAUGGAUCUAGGUGGUGAGGUUUUUUUUAAGUGCUCUGCUUCCCCACCCUGUAACUGGGAAUUAUUUUAUCCUAAUACCAGGACUGUGUUUUUAGAGUUCUGACUACAGUAAAUUAUAUAAUAAAUUGUGAAUUUGAUUAUACAAACUUUCCCUUGGGGGUGGGGAGUGGGGAAACAGUUGAAGUGCUGCUUCCAUUUCUACUGCAGUGACACCUAAUCCACAGAAAGCACAGUAACACCACACCAUACUCUUACAAGAAACUGCACAGAAACCUCUGUUUGGUUGGGAGGGAAAAAAGGUUCAGGGCUGAUAACUGGUGUCAGUUGGCAUAGCUGAGGUUCUUGUGUUGUGUUGAGCUCUUACUGAAAUGCCAAGCUAAAAUCCACUUCAAGUUUGCCUAUAACUCAUACCUUAAAUAACCCUUUGGUGCUGAGAGCUGGGAUUUCACAAUGCUUGUUGUUAAUGUACUGUAUAAACCUUUUAAAAGAAUGCUAAAGCUAUGGGGCAGUUAUUCAAUGUGAUCUGGGGUUUAAUUUGGCUCCAGAUUUAAGUUUUAUAAAGAGCUUGUUUUACAAAAGCUAGGACUAAUAGAAUAGAAUUCCCAUAGAAAGCUGAUGAAUUAGCUAUUCCCUAUGCGGCUGGAAAUCCUUUCAUUGCAGCUUUGUUAUGGAAUGCAAAUCUGAAAUGGACAUUUGCAUUUCUCUCUGUUUGGACAAGCAGGCCAAGUCUAGAUUAGAAAUGUUUACCUGCAUAGCAGCGCCUGUUAAGGCUGUAGAUUUUUUGUGACAUUUCCAUGCCUGCAAAAGCCUUAGUGUAGACAGUUGUAUCGGCAUAAAUGCUUUUGCUGUUCUAGCUUAUUUCAGUCACUGAAUCUGUACAGCUGUAUCAGCAAAGUGCAGACUAGGCUUCAGUCACUCUAGCUGAACUUCCAACAGAACAGUAAUUUACCAGUAGACUUUUAAAAUCUUAAGUGGUGGUAAUAGACAAGAAAUGUUAAAAAGGAUUAGCCUGACAGCAUACUAUGGACUGUCCUUUUGUGCCUAGAUGCUUGUGCACAGGAGUCACUCUCAAUCAUGAUUUUGGUUGUAACAAACGUUAGUGCUCAGUGACAUCAGUAUAGAUUACUAAAUCAGUAGAUCAAAUAGAGUAACUUGCAGAGGAAACAGCCUGGUGGCAUGCAAUAUGGAUUCAAAUGUGGCCAGCCUUGAUGUGCACUGUGUGUAUGCGCAGCAGUGUUUUGAGAUUCCGUAAAUGGAUGCACACUCACCAGACUAAGAUUAGCAAAUCAGAAGUCGUCAUUCCAUAGUAAAUACUGACUUCGUUAAGAGUUUGGUUUAUGUAGCUUUGGGCAGCUGUUCUUUGACCUCUUCAGAAACAAUCUGCAGUGUAAUUAAAGCCACUUUCCCAACCCUGACAUGUAUGCGUGAGCCACUGUUGGAAGUUUAAAUUUUUUCUAUUUUAUUUCUUACGUCAAGUGGUGGAAGGGGAAGAAUUGUUACUGAAAGUAAAUUCCUCAUAUUGUCCCCUAAUGUAUUUUGGAUCCUGCAGUCCUUCCCCUGGCAAAAAAUGUAUUGAAGUUCAAUGGCAAUUCUGCUGAAUUUAGGACUUCAGCUUUAAGCACAGCAUGACUGUUUCCAGCAGUAUUUCUGUAUUAAAACUGCAUGUCUAAGCCAUUUCUUUGGCUUUGUAAUUUACCAGUUCCUUCAAAUUUUCCCUCUUGGUAUGUAGGCUUAUUUUUUCUUAUCUUAUUUUACAAAAUGUCAUAAAAAACCCACCUUAGAGGGAUUUGGAUUUUUAUCAGAUGGAGUCUUAAACUUUCUUCCAGAAGCUUAAAACUUACAAUACAAUGAAAGGCUAUUAAGCUACAUCAUAUUGCAAACCUGUCUUACUAAAACAGUAUUUUCAAAUACAAGAACAAAUCCUCUUUCUAAAUGUCCUCUGGCCCUACAACGCAUACUGGAUAUAUGAGAACCAUGCUCUUGUUACUGAGCUGUUCUGGUCUGCUUCACUCCCCUGAAGUUUGAACUGGAUCUUUCUAAGAUGUGAUACUGGCUUCCUUGGAUUCCCCCUCCCACCCUCUUCUUUCUGUUCUCUGGGACUUUAGUCCAUAUACAUGAAGGGUAUUACUCCCACUGGCUACUAGAUGACUCAUUGAAUACUGAUUUUACUCUGACAGGCCUUUUUCCUAUCUUACAAGCGUAACGUCUCAUGCUUUAACCUUUUUUUUUUAUUUAAGCACUAAAUUCCAUUCACUCAUGUGCAGAAGCAGGAACUCUGCCAAAAUGGAGUUGGAGCAAGUUAUUAGUGGUGAGUUACAACUUCAAAACAAAAGUUUCAAAAGGCAACACUGAACCUUUCUCUGAAGGGCAUUAGAAUGAGUGUAGUGUUCAGGUUUACUGUGCAGAAUCAGCCUCCUGUAACCAAGAUGCUGAAUUUUUUUAAGUGAAUAACUACUUCUCUGAUCAUUAGUGUCUGAAGAAAGAUUGCAGGUUUUGUUAAACUGAAAUUAUGUAGAAGGACCAAGUCCUUCAACCCCCACUCAUUUCAAUGGGGCUAUGUGCAUGUGUAAGCUUACAGAACUGGGCCCUGUUGUGGUUAUAGCUAGAGCUGGUAGCACCACCUAUUAAGGUUACUCAACACUUCCCAUUAUAAGACCCUGUUUUCAAUUGCUAUUUUUUGCCAAACAGUAAGCAUGUAGGCUAAAAUGUUCCAUGCUGGGCAUCUACCUCAGCUUGAAAUCUUUUUAGAAAAUUUCACCAAGAUGGUUCAGCUGUUUUAGAGAAUGACGUUAGGGGGGGAAAAAUACAUUUUUCGCUAUUCAAAAUUCCAAUGACCUCUUGGAAAAAUUAGAGGCCCCAUCCUGUGAAGCAAGGACUUUAAAUUGGGCUGUGCCUUUUACCAUCCCCAUGAAAGUUAGUCCAAAGGUGGCCAAGUUAUAUAUCCACCUUUCAAAAAUGGCAGUUAGCACAUGCUCAUACUUGAUUUUAGCAGCUAAAAUUUUAAAGAUUCUCUCCUUGCUUAGCAUGUUUGAGCCUCUCACAGCCCCUAGUGUUGACGACCAGGCUCUGCCUGGGCCAUCCCCACAAAGCAUGCUCCCUCCCCCUCACACUACAUGGCAAAGGCAGAUAUUUCCUUGUAACUGCUGCUUCUGCCUGUUCUAGACUAGGCACUGGAACUGGGGGAAAUCUGUCUUUCCUGUACUCUGUGACCCCUCUGCUAGUACGCAGGCAGCAUGCAGCUGGAAGCACUCACACCUGUGUGAAGUCAGUUAAGGGGAGCUGUGCUUUGAACAAUAAAGUGCUAAUAUAAUAGGAAGUACUCUGACAUAUCAGGUUAUGGGUGUCAAGCUAGGCACCCACAAUGGGGGAAAACUGAGAUUUUAAGUAACCACGAUCUGUGAAACUGAGUUAAUAUCUAAUGUGCUCAGCUUGUGACACACUCAUUCUAGCAAUAAGUGCCAUAGAAAAGCCUAUGAGGAAUUUUUUUUUUUUUGGUCCUCAGAGCCAGGUUCAAUAGUGUGCACUAAAUCAGACAUAGGGCCACACACUCUACAAUGUGGAUAAAAUAAAAUACUGAGUGCACUGAAUGAGACAGGUCCCAUAGAAAAAAGUGAUCAUAAUUAAACUAGCAAUGCAUACACACAAGGGGGGUCAAAUUAAGGUCACAGGAACCUUAAUUGUAGCAUUUCUUUUCACAAGAGCUUGUCUUUGCAACUUUAAUGAUCUUAACAGAUUUUGUUUGCAUGUAAUCCACAUAUAUAAAUUCCACUGGUAAGUGACGUACAUAGCAGUAAGAGGUAGUUGUGGAGGAGAGAGAGAAAAGAUUGUUUUUUUGUGCAGGAGUGUCAACAAAUUAGUUUCACAUCUACUAGCACUGGGGCAAAGAAACGGGCAUAGUCAUAUUAAAAGUUUGAUUUUUUUUUAACAUCCUUCUACAUGACCCCACUGAAAGCACUUCCAUAAUUUUUCAGCAGACACAUGAGCGCACCAAGGAAGGGUUAGCUGUGUUCUGAGACGGUUCAGGUACUAUGAUUGGGUAAUUGUACUACAAUGGCUUUUCCAGGAUUGAAUGAAUGUUAACAUCCUGUAUAAAAAAAUCUUUAAGUAGCUGCAAAACAGCUUUCCAAACACAAUUGGUACACUAGCUUCUGUGGCGUGUUAGACGAUUAUAGUCUUAACUUUAUCACUCUCAUUUGGGACAAAGCUCAUGCUGGCUCAAAGUACUAAACAUAAUUUUGUUUUAAUGGCUAGAGAGGUGAAGCAGUUUUUGUCAGUACACUCAGUUCUUAAGCAAAUUCCAUAGCCCAUUCCUUGAACCACAGGGUACACAGACUUUUGGUAAGCCAUAGUUUAAAUAUUGAAUUGACAUUAAUAUCUUAACAUUACACUACUGCUGUGAUGGCAUAAUGCACAGGCAGAUGUCAGUCACAGCUUUGAUACAGGUAUCAGCCAAUGAAGUGAUCUUACAUACUGUAGGCUGUCUGACUCAGCAACUCACACCGGUUAGCAGGAAGACCAUCUCUUAAAUUUCACUCUGAUCUGACUAAGAUACUAAUAGCAAGCUUGAGGGGGAAAAAUAUAGGAAUUUCAGUAACUUUCCAUAGUUUUGUUACCACAUCUAUUUGUAUGUCUAAGUCAAGCUCUAGCCUAACAACCCAGCUUCAGUACUGGCAUGAAGUUAAAAUUUAUCACACUGUUCCAUGAAAAGGAUUUUCACAUUUAGAGCAAAAUUUCAGUACAAGGUAAAGUGGAAGAGCACAUGAACCACAAAGGAGAAGGAAAAAAUCUGAGCACCAGCUGAAAACAUGCCAUGCUAAAGAUUAGAUGUUUCUUGUGAGUUUUUAAUAAAGAAAUCUUAUUAAAGGGUAA